GCCUCUGUAGCUCAGUUGGUUAGCGUGCUGCACCGGAAUCGCAGGGCCGUAGGUUCAAUUCCUACCAGAGGAC